rnacentral:rRNA from 1 species
AGAGUUUGAUCCUGGCUCAGAAUGAACGUUGGCGGCGUGGAUUAGGCAUGCGAGUCGCGCGAGAAUGUAGCAAUACAGGAAAGCGGCGAAAGGGAGAGGACAACAUGGGAAUCUGCCCGGGGGUCGAGGAUAGCGUCGGGAAACUGACGGUAAUACUCGAUAAUGUUUACGGACCAAAGGUUUACUGCCCCUGGAUGAGCCCAUGCCCCAUUAGCUAGUUGGCGGUGUAAUAGACCACCAAGGCGAUGAUGGGUAGCUGGUGUGAGAGCACGACCAGCCUCACUGGCACUGAGACACUGGCCAGACACCUACGGGUGGCUGCAGUCGAGAAUCUUCGGCAAUGGACGAAAGUCUGACCGAGCGACGCCGCGUGCGGGACGAAGGCCUUCGGGUUGUAAACCGCUGUCGAGGGGGAUUAAGGGCAACUUGAAAGAACCCUGGAGGAAGGAGAGGCUAAGCUCGUGCCAGCAGCCGCGGUAAGACGAGCUCUCCAAACGUUAUUCGGUAUCACUGGGCUUAAAGAGUUCGUAGGCGGCUUUACAGGUGGNGUGUGAAAGCCCUCGG